UACGGGGGGAGCAAGCGUUGUUCGGAUUCACUGGGCGUAAAGGGCGCGUAGGCGGGGAGGUAAGUCGGGUGUGAAAUCCCUCGGCCCAACCGAGGAACUGCGCUCGAGACUGCUUCUCUUGAGUCCCGGAGAGGAAGAUGGAAUUCCCGGUGUAGCGGUGAAAUGUGUAGAGAUCGGGAGGAACACCGGUGGCGAAGGCGGUCUUCUGGACGGUGACUGACGCUGAGGCGCGAAAGCGUGGGGAGCAAACGGG
rnacentral:rRNA from 1 species